rnacentral:lncRNA from 1 species
ACCAAUCACUCUAUUCAUAUGCAAGUGGUAAAAUAUGAUAGUACACUCAUUAUUGAAUUACUUAUUUUUUAAACAUUAUUAUUGACAUUAGUAUAUCAUCUAAUUUAAUAUGACUCAAUUUUGUUGAUAUCUUUAUUAUUGCAAACUUUAUACAGCGGGCUUAGAUGCCAUUAGUGAUGAUGGUUUGAAUGCUUCUUUG